rnacentral:rRNA from 1 species
GACGAACGCUGGCGGCGUGCUUAACACAUGCAAGUCGAACGGAAAGGCCCUGCUUUUGUGGCGUGCUCGAGUGGCGAACGGGUGAGUAAAACGUGAGUAAACUGCCCUUGACUUUGGGAUAACUUCAGGAAACUGGGGAUAAUACCGGAUAGGAGCUCCUGCUGCAUGGUGGGGGAUGGAAAGUUUCGGCGGUUGGGGAUGGACUCGCGGCUUAUCAGCUUGCUGGUGGGGUAGUGGUUUACCAAGGUUUUGACGGGUAGCCGACCUGGGAGGGGGACCGGCGACAAGAGUCCUACGGGACGCAGCAGUCUCCAACGGUAGGCAACGGGGGGGAGUAUUACACAAUGGGCGGGCGCGUGAGGUAGCGACGCUGCGUGCGUGAUGACGGCCUUCGGGUUAUGAACCACUUUCGCCUGUGACGAAGCGUGAGUGACGGUAAUGAGUAAAGAAGCACCGGCUAACUACGUG